GGCGGGGUAGCUCAGUUGGUGAGAGCGCACGACUCAUAAUCGUGAGGUCGCGGGUUCGAGUCCCGCCUCCGCUACCA
rnacentral:tRNA from 1 species